CCUACGGGUGGCAGCAGUAGGGAAUCUUCCACAAUGGACGAACGUCUGAUGGAGCCACGCCGCGUGAGUGAAGACGGGUUUCGGCGCGUUAAGCCCUGUUUGUAGUGAAGCAAGAUAGAGGUAGUAACUGGCCUUUGUUUGACGGUAAUUACUUAGAAAGUCACGGCUAACUACGUGCCAGCAGCCGCGGUAAUACGAAGGUGGCAAUCGGUGUCCGGAUUUAUUUGGCUGAAAGGGAGUGCAGGCGGGUAAGUCAGUCUGAAGGUAAAGCCGUCGGCCCAACCGGAGAAUUGCAUCAGAAACUGUUGAACUUGAGUGCAGAAGAGGAGAGCGGAACUCGAUGUGUAGCGGUGGAAUGCGUAGAUAUAUGGAAGAACACCAGUGGUGAAGGCGGCUCUCUGGUCUGCAACUGACGCUGAGGCUCGAAAGCAUGGGUAGCGAACAGGAUUAGAUACCCGUGUAGUC
rnacentral:rRNA from 1 species